GGCAGCGUGGUGCAGUGUAAGCACGUCGAUGGCUCAUAACCCGAAGGUCGGACGAUCGAAACGUCCCGCUGCUA